rnacentral:lncRNA from 1 species
GAUUUACACUCCAUCUGGGUGUAUGAUAUGUUGUUGGGAACAGACCAUUUAUUUCAAGGACUGAAAACUGCAAAACCAAUGAAGAGGAACAGAACAUAGUAAUUAUAUAGCAAACCAAAAAAAAACAGAAGUCAAAUGGUGCUCUCUCUGUGUGUUUGCCUUUGGUCACCAUGACUGAUCUACCCCCCAAAUGUAUAGACUGUAGCAUUUGUCUACCUGCUGUCUCUACUUCAGGACAGAUGUUCAGGAACGAUCUUGAUUCAACUUAGACUGUAGGCAUGUUCGAAUGGAAGUGGUGUUUAGUAUGACAGAGGGAAUCUAAGGUUACAUUUUAAGUCUCAGAUGGAAAUGAGCCAUAUAGAUGAAUCGUGUCCACAGACGUCCUCUCCAUAGCCAGGUUUCUCGGGGAUGGUGUAGAGCAUCUCUGUGUGACCUUACUCUUCUCACGAAGGCCUUUUCCACAGUCCCUGUUUUCACAAUAUGUUUACACAGGCCCUAGAGAAGGUAGAUUUGGAUGCUGGAAACGGUUGUACAUUACCGUUGAGUUAUUGCUUUAGGAAUGGGGUACCCAAAGAGGUACAGUCAGGAAAAUGGUCCCUCAGCCCGGAUCAGUAUCCAUGGGAGAAGAAACAGCGUUGUGUCACUGUUCCUUUAGUUGGCCUCCAUAGGAGCUUCCCCUGACCACUCAUGCUGCAAAUGCGUGAUGCUAGAGGCAAGCAUAACCACAGGCAUGCCAUGCCUUUAGCUUGUUUACAAGUCAGCCCAGGUCUCAGGAGUGCUUACUGUCGGUCCAGGCAAUGAGCAGGAGGAAGCCCUGUGAUGCUACCAGAGGUUAGUAAAUUCAAACUCUCACUUUGUGCUUUGCCUAGAGACGUUCACCAAUUAAAUUCCAGCCCCGAAGAACUGAAACACGUUAUUCGUGGAGCUAGCUGAAACCCAAAGACAAAAUACCCUAUUUCGCAAAGCAGAUGUCUUAAAGACAUGCUGAGUUCAUUCAAAGAUUACAAAACUCCAAACUCCUUAGCUUGGUAAACAAGCAAUUUGGUCCUUCUUGCCUUCGUUGGGGGGUGACAUCAAGUGUGCCCAUCCUGGUAUUUACUUGCCAACCACCUUUUACCAUGUUCAGAAUCUUUGGGAGAUUCAGGUUCUACACAGAAAGGAAUUUUUGAUUUGACUUUUCUUUUGUUUAAAAAAACAAAACUCCUUUAUUCUAAGAAAAAAUGUCAGCAUGUCUUGCUUUUAUUUUAAAGCUAUAGAGAUGUAUAAGAUGCACAAUAAAUCCUAGAAAUAUUUCAUGAGGGGAAGAUCCUGAUGUUUCUGCUUUUAAAAGUAGAAUUUACAUAGGAGAUAAAGGAAAUCUGUCUACCAAAAUGUGCCUAGGUUUUCCCAAACAAGCAUGAACUUAUAAGUACUAUGAACUCAAAAGAGUUGGCUAUAUUCAGAUUUACUGAGCACUAAAUUUAGACCUAUUUUGUGGCAUGAAUAAGCUGAUUCUAUGUAACAUUUCUUGAAGUGGAGUAGAGGAGAAGAUUUGUAUCCUUUUGUUGCUAUGCAACUGUUUAAUGAUGACGCUUCAAACCACAAUUCUAUAUAUCAUAUGACAAUCAAUUGUUUUCCAAGAAUAUUUAUUUUGAGUAGACACAGUCUCAGUGAAUCUGAGUUUUCACGGAGUCCCUUAAAGGGGGACUAGCACUCCAUGAGCCAGUACGAUACCUUCUCUGGAAAGUCACUAUUAUGGUUAAAAAAAUAAAUUCAACUUAGUUUUUUAUAAAGAACUCUAACAUUUAUUUUUAAGCCUUUUUUAUAAUAACUGAAGCCAUUAAGGUGAGCGGACUGAAUCUCAAAACCACUUGUUCUAAUGUAUUAAGACAGUGCUGUGAUGCUGCCCCAUGCAGCUUCUUUUGUAUUAAAAGAUCACCUUUUCCACAAGCUGAACAAAAAUCUCUUUCGCUUUGUUGACAAUGUUUUUUUGUAAGGUGAGUUUAUUGUCAGUUUUUUUUUUCUCUGCACAAAACUGUUAAUGGUUUGUAUCACGGAAGUGAAAAUAUAUCUGCAUUUUUAUACC